rnacentral:rRNA from 1 species
UUAGUGAAUAUAGGACGUCCAACUUAACUUGGAGUCCGAACUCUCACUUUCUAACCCUGUGCACUUGUUUGGGAUAGUAACUCUCGCAAGAGAGCGAACUCCUAUUCACUUAUAAACACAAAGUCUAUGAAUGUAUUAAAUUUUAUAACAAAAUAAAACUUUCAACAACGGAUCUCUUGGCUCUCGCAUCGAUGAAGAACGCAGCGAAAUGCGAUAAGUAAUGUGAAUUGCAGAAUUCAGUGAAUCAUCGAAUCUUUGAACGCACCUUGCGCUCCAUGGUAUUCCGUGGAGCAUGCCUGUUUGAGUGUCAUGAAUACUUCAACCCUCCUCUUUCUUAAUGAUUGAAGAGGUGUUUGGUUUCUGAGCGCUGCUGGCCUUUACGGUCUAGCUCGUUCGUAAUGCAUUAGCAUCCGCAAUCGAACUUCGGAUUGACUUGGCGUAAUAGACUAUUCGCUGAGGAAUUCUAGUCUUCGGAUUAGAGCCGGGUUGGGUUAAAGGAAGCUUCUAAUCAGAAUGUCUACAUUUUAAGAUUAGAUCUCAAAUCAGGUAGGACUACCCGCUGAACUUAAGCAUAUCAAUAAGCGGAGGAAAAGAAACUAACAAGGAUUCCCCUAGUAGCGGCGAGCGAAGCGGGAAGAGCUCAAAUUUAUAAUCUGGCACCUUCGGUGUCCGAGUUGUAAUCUCUAGAAAUGUUUUCCGCGUUGGACCGCACACAAGUCUGUUGGAAUACAGCGGCAUAGUGGUGAGACCCCCGUAUAUGGUGCGGACGCCCAGCGCUUUGUGAUACAUUUUCGAAGAGUCGAGUUGUUUGGGAAUGCAGCUCAAAUUGGGUGGUAAAUUCCAUCUAAAGCUAAAUAUUGGCGAGAGACCGAUAGCGAACAAGUACCGUGAGGGAAAGAUGAAAAGCACUUUGGAAAGAGAGUUAACAGUACGUGAAAUUGUUGGAAGGGAAACGCUUGAAGUCAGACUUGCUUGCCGAGCAAUCGGUUUGCAGGCCAGCAUCAGUUUUCCGGGAUGGAUAAUGGUAGAGAGAAGGUAGCAGUUUCGGCUGUGUUAUAGCUCUCUGCUGGAUACAUCUUGGGGGACUGAGGAACGCAGUGUGCCUUUGGCGGGGGUUUCGACCUCUUCACAC